rnacentral:rRNA from 1 species
AUGGAAAUGGUGCAAACCACCUCCUUAGCAUUCACUGGAAUUGUCAUCAUUCUCCUUUCCAUGGCCAUCACCAAUCAAGCUUCCGACACCAAGCCCAUGCCGUCAGGCAUCACGUUGGAAGCAUGCAAGAAUGUCUCGAGUGACUUCUUCAAGGUGCGCUCCACAUAUGACUUUUGUGUAUCAACGCUCCAGUCAGACAAACGAAGCAUCAACGCGAAGGACUGCCGCAUCCUAGCUCUUGUGGACGUCGACGCCAUGAAGCCCCAAGCCACGGCCGUGAUGGCCAAGGUUGAGAACUUGAUCCAUGGUGCCACCAAGGACAAGCUCGCGACUCGCGCCCUUGGGUUCUGCCAAGUGGACUACGGUGGCAUGGUGAGCACCCUCGAAAUCUGCCAUGAUAUCAUCCAGAACUUUGAGAGCAGUGGCAGCAAGCGACACAAGAAGAAGUAG